rnacentral:tRNA from 1 species
GCCGAGGUAGCACAGUGGCAGUGCAGCUGAUUCGUAAUCAGCAGGCCGUGGGUUCAAAUCCCAUCCUCGGCU